UACGGGGGGGGCAAGCGUUGUUCGGAAUUACUGGGCGUAAAGGGUUCGUAGGUGGCCUGCUAAGUCAGACGUGAAAUCCCUCAGCUUAACUGGGGAACUGCGUCUGAGACUGGUGGGCUUGAGUGCAGGAGAGGAACGCGGAAUUCCAGGUGUAGCGGUGAAAUGCGCAGAUAUCAGGAAGAACACCUAUGGCGAAGGCAGCUCUCUGGGACGGUACUGACGCUGAGACGCGAAAGCGUGGGGAGCGAACAGG
rnacentral:rRNA from 1 species